rnacentral:rRNA from 1 species
GCGAACGGGGAGCAGCCCAGAGUCUGAAUCAGCUUGUGUGUUAGUGGAACGGUCUGGAAAGUCCGACGGUACAGGGUGAUAGUCCCGUACACCAAAAUGCACAGGUUGUGAACUCGAAGAGUAGGGCGGGACACGUGGUAUCCUGUCUGAAUAUGGGGGGACCAUCCUCCAAGGCUAAAUACUCCUGACUGACCGAUAGUGAACCAGUACCGUGAGGGAAAGGCGAAAAGAACCCCGGCGAGGGGAGUGAAAAAGAACCUGAAACCGUGUACGUACAAGCAGUGGGAGCACCUUCGGGUGUGACUGCGUACCUUUUGUAUAAUGGGUCAGCGACUUAUAUUCUGUAGCAAGGUUAACCGUAUAGGGGAGCCGCAGGGAAACCGAGUCUUAACUGGGCGUUAAGUUGCAGGGUAUAGACCCGAAACCCGGUGAUCU